UACGUAGGGGUCGAGCGUUGUCCGGAGUUACUGGGCGUAAAGCGUGUGCAGGCGGCUCAUUGCGCCCGGCGUGAAAGCCCCCGGCUCAACCGGGGAGAGUCGUCGGGGACGGGUGAGCUUGAGGGUAUCAGGGGCUGGUGGAAUUCCCGGUGUAGUGGUGAAAUGCGCAGAUAUCAGGAGGAACACCGAUGGCGAAGGCAGAUCUCUGGGCCGUAACUGACGCUGAGGAGCGAAAGCAUGGGGAGCGAACAGG
rnacentral:rRNA from 1 species